UGCAGUCGUGCGCGCCCUUCGGGGUGAGCGGCGGACGGGUGAGUAACGCGUGGGAAUAUGCCCUUCUGUUGAGGAUAGCCCCGGGAAACUGGGAGUAAAACUCGAUACGCCCUCAGGGGGAAGGAAGGAUUAGCCCGCGUCUGAUUAGGUAGUUGGUGGGGUAAUGGCCUACCAAGCCUACGAUCAGUAGCUGGUUUUAGAGGAUGAUCAGCCACACUGGGACUGAGACACGGCCCAGACUCCUACGGGAGGCAGCAGUGAGGAAUCUUAGACAAUGGGCGCAAGCCUGAUCUAGCCAUGCCGCGUGAGUGAUGAAGGCCUUAGGGUCGUAAAGCUCUUUCGCCAGAGAUGAUAAUGACAGUAUCUGGUAAAGAAACCCCGGCUAACUCCGUGCCAGCAGCCGCGGUAAUACGGAGGGGGUUAGCGUUGUUCGGAAUUACUGGGCGUAAAGCGCGCGUAGGCGGACCAGAAAGUUGGGGGUGAAAUCCCGGGGCUCAACCCCGGAACUGCCUCCAAAACUCCUGGUCUUGAGUUCGAGAGAGGUGAGUGGAAUUCCGAGUGUAGAGGUGAAAUUCGUAGAUAUUCGGAGGAACACCAGUGGCGAAGGCGGCUCACUGGCUCGAUACUGACGCUGAGGUGCGAAAGUGUGGGGAGCAAACAGGAUUAGAUACCCUGGUAGUCCACACCGUAAACGAUGAAUGCCAGUCGUCGGGUUGCAUGCAAUUCGGUGACACACCU
rnacentral:rRNA from 2 species